CCUGUUUGUUUCUGGAGAAAAGACUCUGACACGAUGAACAAUUCUUCAAUACCCCCAGCCCAAUUAGGCCUUAGCCCCUCAUCUAGCAUUCGUCACACACGCUCCCUCAAGAACCUUUCUCCACCACCUAUCUAUCAGCAUGUAAUAUGCAAUCACUCAUUGACUGAACGCAUUUGGAUGAAUUGGACAAAUAAUAACCCUUAUA